AUUAGUAGGAGAAUACAUUUUUUGGUAGUGAUUGGCAUCUCUCUUCUCAUAAAAUUAAGGUUUGGAGUCUUGUUUGCAUUAGAUUAGUAACACUUUACACACGAGUCACUUGUACUACUUACUCCAUUUUGGCCUGAACUGAGUAAAGUCUAUGACUUAUUGAUUUGACCUUUGCAUGCUAUCAAUUGCAUUUUUGAGUUAUUGCUUGUUAUUUGCUCAGCUUGUUCUUGAUAUGAUUCCCUUCAAUAUUUGUGAUAAAAAAAAGGGGGAAGAGAAAAGUGUAACUGAGGGGGAGAAAAACAUGUAAAAAAGUAUACACAUUGGGGGAGAGCGAUUGCAGUUGCAUGUGCGCAUGAUAUCACUAAUUGACAUUACUUGCAUUUUGCAUUGCUAUGUCUAAGGGUCAUUAGGAAAAAGACAUAGAUACAUUAAUUUACUGCAUUACAUUCAUGAAAGCAUGCAGUAAGCUGAAACGUUGUAUUGCAU
rnacentral:lncRNA from 1 species